UACAGAGGGUGCGAGCGUUAAUCGGAAUUACUGGGCGUAAAGCGCACGUAGGUGGCGACGUAAGUCGGGUGUGAAAGCCCCGGGCUCAACCUGGGAAUUGCAUUCGAGACUGCAUUGCUGGAGUACGGAAGAGGAGGGCGGAAUUCCCGGUGUAGCGGUGAAAUGCGUAGAUAUCGGGAGGAACAUCAGUGGCGAAGGCGACUUUCUGGCCUGUUCUUGACGCUGAGGCGCGAAAGCUAGGGGAGCAAACGGG
rnacentral:rRNA from 1 species